GAUGAACGCUGGCGGCGUGCCUAAUACAUGCAAGUCGAGCGAACAGACGAGGAGCUUGCUCCUCUGACGUUAGCGGCGGACGGGUGAGUAACACGUGGAUAACCUACCUAUAAGACUGGGAUAACUUCGGGAAACCGGAGCUAAUACCGGAUAAUAUAUUGAACCGCAUGGUUCAAUAGUGAAAGACGGUUUUGCUGUCACUUAUAGAUGGAUCCGCGCCGCAUUAGCUAGUUGGUAAGGUAACGGCUUACCAAGGCGACGAUGCGUAGCCGACCUGAGAAGGUGAUCGGCCACACUGGAACUGAGACACGGUCCAGACUUCUACGGGAGGCAGCAGUAGGGAAUCUUCCGCAAAGGGCGAAAGCCUGACGGAGCAACGCCGCGUGAGUGAUGAAGGUCUUCGGAUCGUAAAACUCUGUUAUUAGGGAAGAACAAAUGUGUAAGUAACUAUGCACGUCUUGACGGUACCUAAUCAGAAAGCCACGGCUAACUACGUG
rnacentral:rRNA from 1 species